GACGAACGCUGCGGCGUGCUUAACACAUGCAAGUUGAACGGAAAGGCCCUGCCUUUGGGGGGUGCCCGGGUGGCGAACGGGUGAGUAACACGUGAGUUACCUGCCCUUGACCUUGGGGUUAACUUAGGGAAAUGGGGCCAAUAACCGAAAGGAGCUCCUGCUGCAUGGUGGGGGUUGGAAAGUUUCGGCGGUUGGGGAUGGACUCGCGGCUUAUCAGCUUGUUGGUGGGGUAGUGGCUUACCAAGGCUUUGACGGGUAGCCGGCCUGAGAGGGUGACCGGCCACAUUGGGACUGAGAUACGGCCCAGACUCCUACGGGAGGCAGCAGUGGGGAAUAUUGCACAAUGGGCGGAAGCCUGAUGCAGCAACGCCGCGUGCGGGAUGACGGCCUUCGGGUUGUAAACCGCUUUCGCCUGUGACGAAGCGUGAGUGACGGUAAUGGGUAAAGAAGCACCGGCUAACUACGUG
rnacentral:rRNA from 1 species